CCUCGGGAAACUGAGGCUAAGCUUGAUGGGAGUUAUGAACUGGAAUGUUCUUUCUCUAAACUAAGGAUGAGUCGGCGGCCGAUUAGGUAGAUGGAGAGGUAACGGCUCACCAUGCCUUUGAUCGGUACGGGCCAUGAGAGUGGUCGCCCGGAGAGGGAUACUGAGAUACUGAUCCCAGCCCUACGGGGUGCAGCAGGCGCGGAAACUUUACAAUGCACGCAAGUGUGAUAAGGGAACUCGAAGUGCUUAUACUUUUAGUGUAGGCUUUUGCCAAGUGUAAAUAACUUGGAGAAUAAGUGGUGGGUAAGACUGGUGCCAGCAGCCGCGGUAACCCCAGCGCCACAAGUGGGAGUCGCUUUUAUUGGGCCUAAAGCGUUCGUAGCCGGAUUUACAAGUCUUUUGUGAAAUCGUUUGGCUCAACCAAACGGCGUGCAAGAGAUACUAUAAUUCUAGGAACUGGGAGGAGUAUGGAGUACUCCAGGGGGAGCGGUAAAAUGUAAUAAUCCCUGGAAGACUACCAGUGGCGAAGGCGCCAUACUAGAACAGAUUCGACGGUGAGGGACGAAGGCUAGGGGAGCAAAACGGAUUAGAUACCCGAGUAGUCCUAGCAGUAAACGCUGUGUGUUAGGUGUUGCAUUUUCUUGUGAACGUGCAGUACCGAAGUGAAGACAUUAAACACACCGCCUGGGUAGUACGGUCGCAAGGCUGAAACUUAA
rnacentral:rRNA from 1 species